AGAUAGAAUGAUAAAAAAUAGAUUGAGGAAUUAAUAUACUCCUCUAAGGAUUGUGAUCAAUGGUUAACUGAUGUAUAGAGUGUAGAGACUGUAACAGUGUUUAUACUCUAUAUGUUAGAUUAAUUAGAUAGCAAAAGUAUAUUAGAGAUGUUGAAUUAAGGGAUUUAAUCGACCCGUCUUGUAACACGGACCAAGGAGUCUAACAUGUAUGCGAGUAAACUGGGUUAAAAACCUAACAUACAAAAUGAAAGUAACUGGUAGGAAUCCUUUAUUGGAAGCACUAUCAACCGACAUGGAUAUGGGUUAAACCAUUGAAAUGAUUGAGUUAGAGUAUAUAUGUUAGGACCCGAAAGAUGGUGAACUAUGCCUGAGUAGGGCAAAGCCAGAGGAAACUCUGGUGGAGGCUCGUAGGGGUUCUGACGUGCAAAUCGAUCUUCAAACUUGGGUAUAGGGGCG
rnacentral:rRNA from 1 species